rnacentral:rRNA from 1 species
GUACGGUAAGUCUGUAGUAAAAGGCGGCAGCUCAACUGUCGUAGGCUAUGGAAACUGUCGAACUAGAGUGCAGAAGAGGGCGAUGGAACUCCAUGUGUAGCGGUAAAAUGCGUAGAUAUAUGGAAGAACACCAGUGGCGAAGGCGGUCGCCUGGUCUGUAACUGACGCUGAAGCACGAAAGCGUGGGGAGCAAAUAGGAUUAGAUACCCUAGUAGUCCACGCCGUAAACGAUGAGAACUAAGUGUUGGGGGAAUAACUCAGUGCUGCAGUUAACGCAAUAAGUUCUCCGCCUGGGGAGUAUGCACGCAAGUGUGAAACUCAAAGGAAUUGACGGGGGCCCGCACAAGCGGUGGAGUAUGUGGUUUAAUUCGAAGCAACGCGAAGAACCUUACCAGGCCUUGACAUCCCCGGCGAAGACAUGGAGACAUGUCGGAGGUUAACCGGGAGACAGGUGGUGCAUGGUUGUCGUCAGCUCGUGUCGUGAGAUGUUGGGUUAAGUCCCGCAACGAGCGCAACCCUUGUGAUAUGUUACUAACAGUAAGAUGAGGACUCAUAUCAGACUGCUGGUGACAAACCGGAGGAAGGUGGGGAUGACGUCAAAUCAUCAUGCCCCUUAUGGCCUGGGCUACACACGUACUACAAUGGCGGCUACAAAGAGCGGCGAACCCGCGAGGGGGAGCGAAUCUCAUAAAGGUCGUCUCAGUUCGGAUUGAAGUCUGCAACCCGACUUCAUGAAGUUGGAAUCGCUAGUAAUCGNNNNNNNNNNUGUCGCGGUGAAUACGUUCUCGGGCCUUGUACACACCGCCCGUCAAACCAUGGGAGUUGGUAAUACCCGAAGCCGGUGUCAUAGGGGCAAGGAGUGAACCGUCGAAGGUAGGAUCGA